GUGUGUGUGUGUGUGUGUGUGUGUGUGUGUGUGUGUGUGUGUGUGUGUAUGUGUGUGAGUGUGCGUGUGUAGUGUGUGCAUGCUUCUGGCAUGUGAUCAGGCAGCUGGGCGUUCUGACGGGGGUUAUAGAAGCACUUUGUCAUACUACUUACUAUCAUUAUUUCAUUAAUUAAACUGCUUACUAAUUGGUAAUGAUGCUGGUAAACGUCGCCCUGGACUUCUAGCGUGCGCUCACUCUAGGACACGUGCAAUGCAUACUGGCAUUACCAUGUUGACGGGCGGACAUUUGGUAACAACAGGUAUGUACUAAGGUGUACAAGUACUCAGAAAUUGGUACGUGUUUACAUCUGUUACAUGUCGUCUGUUUUUCAUUCUGUAGUUGAACUUGAGCUCUAUGCUAGACUUGUCAUGAGUUUGGCUAUGUUUUGUUUGCGAACGGCGUCAAUGCACUAGCUCUUUCAUCUGAUACAGAAUGGAAACAGCAUGAAGAAGCGCACAGAAAGGAUGAUUUAUUGCUCAAUAAUAGUGCAUCGUCAUCUGUUGAGAGCACACAAAAGGAAGCCAAAUAAAUGCCUUGACCGGAGUUCAGUAUAAGACACAGCAAACACUAAAACGACACAGGAGGAAACAAUAAGUUGAAGAGUCUAACAGAACACAAUGUCACACGGUGUUACAUCAUAACAUGGACAUGGGAAUACGUGAACUUGAAUUCAAUAGCUGUGAUGAAUUUUUUGAGUGCAAAAAGGAGGAAGAGAGGAAGACAUGCACAUACUACAGAAGAGAGAGGUCAAAGAAGCCAACCCAAGGUUGUAGCACAAUUUUAGUGUGUACUAUGGUUACUGCAUAGGCAUAAGAAACAAGGGGGAGAAGCGGGGCACGUGCCUCUUUAACUUCCAGCAAACUGAGUAGAUCUUGUCAAGUCGCAUAUUUCUCUAAACAUGCCUAGCAUUUACGCACGCUGCUUUGCUGUGUUUGAUGUAUAAGACUUGUGAUAUAGACAUACAACCAGCCCAGUUGUUGUUCUGUACCAUGCCUUGGUAGACAAACGUGUGUCCCUCUAACUGAAUUAGAUUCCUAUACCUAUGUAUUAUUGUGAUUGAUAUAUCAGCUAUAAUUUGAUAUAAUUGCCACUGUAAUCGUAGGAAGCCAAGAAUGCAAAAACGGAAACAAUUUGUCUCUCCAAGAUCAACGCAAAAUUUUAUCCAAACGGCAAAGUCAACGUAUGGUAUGUGAGUGGACACACAAAUCACUCGCCAAAUCUAUUCGAAAUGCCAUACAUUUCCUUACCUGAUGAUGUCAAAGACAUAUUUUCACAAAAGCUGGCAA